GUCCACGCCGUAAACGUUGGGUGCUAGACGUCGGGGGUAUUGACCCCCUCGGUGUCGAAGCUAACGCAUUAAGCACCCCGCCUGGGGAGUACGGCCGCAAGGCUAAAACUCAAAAGGAAUUGACGGGGGCCCGCACAAGCGGUGGAGCAUGUGGUUCAAUUCGAAGCAACGCGCAGAACCUUACCUGGGCUUGACAUCCGCGGAAUCCCUCGGAAAACGAGGGAGUGCCUUCGGGAGCCGCGAGACAGGUGCUGCAUGGCUGUCGU
rnacentral:rRNA from 1 species